GAGUUAGACACAGCAGGGUGGGCCAAGACUUUAUCAUGUUACUCAGAAUGGAGUGCAAUUUAAAACUCAUGAAUUGUUUAUUUUUGUAAUUUUCUGUUUAAGAUUUUUGAGCUGAGAUUGACCAUGGAUAACUGUCCCACAGAAACUGAAACAGUGGAUAAGGGGUACUACUAUAUCGUUAGGAUAAUAAAGUAGACUACAAAAUAGUUCCAUCAGUAUAACUGCAACUUAAACAAAUACUACACAGAGAGGGGAGAAAAGACUAGAAGAUCCAGCAAGGAGCCUCCCAGAUGGAGUACAUGGAGACCAUGACUGUGAAAGAUGAGGAUCAAGUGCAGAUUUGGUGGCCUCUGAUUGCCAGUAUCUGGCAGCCACAUUCUCUUCCCACAAGAUGUGCUGGAAAUAUGACCAAGCAGAAGUUCACUUAAGUGAAUCCAACAGUUAAACCUACCAUGGAAGGGUGUGGUGCACAGAGGGCAUGUGGAGAAGAGAAGACCACAGUGGGAACCUCCAAGGAACUAACAUCUAGCUGGGGAUGAGGGGGGAUUUGGCUAUGUAGAG
rnacentral:lncRNA from 10 species